UACAGAGGUCUCAAGCGUUGUUCGGAAUCACUGGGCGUAAAGGGUGCGUAGGUGGCGUGGUAAGUCAGAUGUGAAAGCCCGGGGCUCAACCUCGGAAAUUGCAUCCGAUACUGCCGUGCUAGAGUACUGAAGAGGUGACUAGAAAUUCUCGGUGUAGCAGUGAAAUGACGUAGAUAUCGAGAGGAAUACCAACGGGCGAAAGGCAGGUCACUGGGCAGUUACUGACACUGAGGCACGAAGGCCCAGGGGGAGCAAAACGGG
rnacentral:rRNA from 1 species